rnacentral:rRNA from 1 species
AAAUUCACUAACGAUGCCAACCAGCGAUUAGCCUGAGUUCCUUAAAUGACUCGGCUAGCAGCUUCCGGGAAACCAAAGUGUUUCGGUUCCGGGGGAAGUAUGGUUGCAAAGCUGAAACUUAAAGGAAUUGACGGAAGGGCACCACCAGGAGUGGAGCCUGCGGCUUAAUUUGACUCAACACGGGAAAACUUACCCGGCCCGGACACUGGAAGGAUUGACAGAUUGAGAGCUCUUUCUUGAUUCAGUGGGUGGUGGUGCAUGGCCGUUCUUAGUUGGUGGAGCGAUUUGUCUGGUUAAUUCCGAUAACGAACGAGACUCUAGCCUACUAAAUAGACUGUUCAGCUUUAUAGCCGGAAUCACCGGGCACGUAGCUCUCGGGUUGCGUGUUCGGCUCUGGUGACGUUGGCAGUGCUUCUUAGAGGGACAGGCGGCGGUUCAGCCGCACGAAACAGAGCAAUAACAGGUCUGUGAUGCCCUUAGAUGUCCGGGGCUGCACGCGCGCUACACUGAAGUGAUCAGCGUGCAAUUUACGUUUGGUGAUCUGUCAAGAUUGCCCAACCCGUUGAACCUUCUUCGUGAUUGGGAUAGGGGAUUGUAAUUAUUCCCCUUGAACGAGGAAUUCCCAGUAAGCGCAAGUCAUAAGCUUGCGUUGAUUACGUCCCUGCCCUUUGUACACACCGCCCGUCGCUACUACUGAUUGAAUGAAUUAGUGAGGUCUUCGGACUGGCCUGUGCUGGCUGUUUCGGCAGCUGCACAUGGCUCGGGGAGAUGCCCAAACUUGUUCAUCUAGAGAGUAAAGUCGUACAGUUUUCGUAGGUGACUGCGAGAUCAGGCGAUCGCGCGCUAAAUCAUCGCUAUAGUGAUCGAUCUCUAGGGGGCGGGUUUUUAUAUAUAUAAAAUCG